rnacentral:rRNA from 1 species
GAUGAACGCUGGCGGCGUGCCUAAUACAUGCAAGUCGAGCGAACAGACGAGGAGCUUGCUCCUCUGACGUUAGCGGCGGACGGGUGAGUAACACGUGGAUAACCUACCUAUAAGACUGGGAUAACUUCGGGAAACCGGAGCUAAUACCGGAUAAUAUAUUGAACCGCAUGGUUCAAUAGUGAAAGACGGUUUUGCUGUCACUUAUAGAUGGAUCCGCGCCGCAUUAGCUAGUUGGUAAGGUAACGGCUUACCAAGGCAACGAUGCGUAGCCGACCUGAGAGGGUGAUCGGCCACACUGGAACUGAGACACGGUCCAGACUCCUACGGGAGGCAGCAGUAGGGAAUCUUCCGCAAAGGGCGAAAGCCUGACGGAGCAACGCCGCGUGAGUGAUGAAGGUCUUCGGAUCGUAAAACUCUGUUAUUAAGGAAGAACAAAUGUGUAAGUAACUAUGCACGUCUUGACGGUACCUAAUCAGAAAGCCACGGCUAACUACGUG